AACUUGAAAACACUUCCAAAGUAACUGUCGAGGUCUUCAAACAACAUACCGGUGUCAUUGACACCAAUUCAUUGCAAACUUUACACAAAUAUUUCUUCCAUGUUUUGGCCGGUAGGUAAAUGAACAGCUGAUUUUUCGGUCGCGUGACUUGUGCAGACUAAAAAUAGAUAUGAUUGUUCGAUUGACGAUAAGGCAGAUAUGCAAAAUAAACCUUAAAAAUGCAUUCUAUUAAAAUGUAUAAUAUUGUUCGAAAUUAUUUAAAUUUCAUGAAAAUUAGCUUAAUCCAUGUCCGAACAAAUUCUGUUAAAACAAGACUGAACAAUUUCAGUUUGGGAUCCCAAUUACUGAUCACGUGGUUUGUUCAGCUAUGGUAUUUUGAAAAAACAAAGAUGGCCUACAUUUUGAUGGGAAGAGGGAAGUAUUAAUAAUGGCAGAUUAGUCAGACUUGAGUGAAGUAAACACUUUCAUGUUGGGUACUUCCUGAUUCGAGCUGUACAUUUUACUCCGGUUUAUGAAUUGUACAUAAACUUGAUAAAUCCUAACACUAGUUUUAAAUAGAAACAGUGAUUAUAAAAUAGGAAUACAGUUGCAUUUAGCUACACCGUAAUUUACAUAAAUGUCACAAUAAGGUCAAUAAUUCAAAACGAGAAUAGUAGAUCUUAGAAAUGAACAAAGAAAGUACAGUCUAGUUAAACCACAAAUAUCGAUGUUAAAAUGGUUUCAAGUUGUGGAAAGUUUCGGUCGCAGAUACGUGGGAUUUGGACCUGCAGCGUCACUGGUCUAGAAGAUAUGAGAUGAAUCAAGGUGAUUUGGUACGUUGUUUCCAGUGUGGUAUUGGUCUUAAAGAUUUUUCCGAAGGAGAUACUAGAACAUGUACGAUAUUCAGAAGAUUGCCUGUACCUCCUCGAACAUCUGGGAACUGUAAGAUUGUCUGCAGUAAAGGUUCAAACGAGCAGUGUCGACAUCCUCAGUAUCAGACCUAUGCAGCCCGCCUUUCAUCCUUUAGCGGAUGGCCGAGUUAUCUACACCAAACUCCUGAAGAGUUAGCUGAGGCUGGGCUGUAUUAUACGGGAUUUGAAGAUCAUGUGCGCUGUUUCAUGUGUGAUGGUGGAUUACGGCGCUGGGACACAGACGAUGACCCGUGGACAGAGCAUUGUCGAUGAUUUCCAGCUUGUCAGUUUGCCAGGGAGAAGAAAGGCAGUGACUUUAUAGCGCUUGUUCAGGCUUCGGCAGAAUAUGGCGCAGAGGAAACAGAAAACACAACAAACGCGGAAGGUACUGGAUGUCAAAGUCUAUCAGGCGCAAUGGAACAGAUGACGCUGCGGGAUCAAGAGUUACAGGCUGCUCUGGAUGAACAUAAGAGUGCAUGUCUAGAGAUGGGAUAUGAACUGUCAGUGACAGACUUGAACGAGGCAGUGGAGGAUUUAAGAAAUAUUGGUACUAUAAAACCUAAUAUAGAAGAGAUACUAGACAUGAUGGGGGUGGUAAAAGAGAGCAAACAAUGUCAGCAAAGCGUGUCCGUGAAACUCCUAUCGUAGAAAAUCUGCGUCUGAAAAGUUUAAUUACUUGUAUUGCGUGUGGUAAAAACAACGUUAAUGCAUUAUUCCUUCCAUGUACUCAUCACCGCAUGUGUAUGGAGUGCGCAGAACAACAUGCACAGUGUCCCAUGUGCGAUAGGUAUAUUAGACAAAGGAUCAGGACCUACUUGGCAUAAUGAUGAUCAAAAAUGUGCAUGCAAAACGGGUUAUUUUGGUACAGGAAAAGUAAACGCUAUGGAAUACAUACGUUGGACGUUUGAGCCAUGGCAUUGAAAAUCAAUUGAUAACAUUAUUGUAUAUAAAUGUUAUACUUUAGUGUUUGUCAUUUUACGUAUUUACUGUUAUUGUUGUCGCUGUUGUCGAUAUGUGAAAAUAUGAACUAUUUUUAGAGAUUGUUAAAUGUCAUUUUACAUAAUAAUGUUAUUUACACAUGUCGCCAUAUUUAUAUAUUAACUAUAUUGUAACAUUUGUCCCAGACUUUCGGGAUGAAAACAUGUAAAGGCUAGCCGUUCAUGCUCAUGCAAUUGUUCAUGCUUAAUACGAACAGUACUACUUGAUAAAAUCUUGUGAGUAUUAUCAUUCUCUUGUGAAAACCAACCGUUGAGAGAUGUGUUUAGCUCAUACGCUUUGAAAUGCGGAAUUAAAGGUGUUAAACGAUAUAUUCAAAGUGCUGAGCAAACCAUGACAUUGUUUCGGCAGAGACAUAACUAUUCAUAUUGGAAGUUUGUUCUUUGUUUUUCCUGGUUGCAUUUCACAUCAAACAAACAAUCUGUACCUUAAACUGCAAAUUGCAUUUUUGUUGUUGUUUUUUUUUUUUAUUUAACGUCGCACCGACACAUGAUAGGUUACUUCAUUUAAUCAAAGAGUAUCAUCUGUUUACAAAAAAGAAUGAUAGCAAUUAAAACAGGGAAGCACCUGAGAAAUGGAAUGCAGUGGGUAAUGGAAAAUUAUGCUGGGGCCUCCGUGGCCGAGUGGUUAAGGUCGCUGACUUCAAAUCACUUGCCCCUCACCGAUGUGGGUCCGAGCCUCACUCGGGACGUUAAAUUCUUCAUGUGAGGAAGCCAUCCAGCUGG
rnacentral:lncRNA from 1 species